rnacentral:rRNA from 1 species
GACGAACGCUGGCGGCGUGCCUAAUACAUGCAAGUCGAGCGAAGUUUUUCUGGUGCUUGCACCGGAAAAACUUAGCGGCGAACGUGUGAGUAACACGUAAAGAACCUGCCUCAUAGACUGGGACCACUAUUGGAAACGAUAGCUAAUACCGGAUAAUAGCAUUAACUGCAUGGUUGAUGUUUAAAAGUUGGUUUUGCUAACACUAUGAGAUGGCUUUGCGGUGCAUUAGCUAGUUGGUGGGGUAAAGGCCUACCAAGGCGACGAUGCAUAGCCGACCUGAGAGGGUGAUCGGCCACACUGGGACUGAGACACGGCCCAGACUCCUACGGGAGGCAGCAGUAGGGAAUCUUCCGCAAUGGGCGAAAGCCUGACGGAGCAACGCCGCGUGAGUGAAGAAGGAUUUCGGUUCGUAAAGCUCUGUUGUUAGGGAAGAAUGAUUGUGUAGUAACUAUACACAGUAGAGACGGUACCUAACCAGAAAGCCACGGCUAACUACGUG